rnacentral:rRNA from 1 species
AGCGGGGCCCAUCCCGUAAGGCUAAAUACUCCCGAGAGACCGAUAGCGAACCAGUACUGUGAAGGAAAGGUGAAAAGAACCUCGAACAGAGGAGUGAAAAAGACCCUGAAACCAUGCGCCUACAAGCGGUCGGAGCAUGUUAAAAUGUGACGGCGUGCCUUUUGCAUAAUGAACCUACGAGUUACUCUCGCUGGCAAGGUUAAGCGAUUCAGUCGCGCAGCCGAAGCGAAAGCAAGUCCGAACAAGGCGUACAGUCAGCGGGAGUAGACGCGAAACCAAGUGAUCUACCCUUGGUCAGGUUGAAGGUUGGGUAACACCAACUGGAGGACCGCACCGAUAAGCGUUGAAAAGCUUACGGAUGAACUGAGGGUAGGAGUGAAAGGCCAAUCAAACUUGGAGAUAGCUCGUACUCCCCGAAAUGCAUUUAGGUGCAGCCUCGAAGCAGAGUGAUAGAGGUAGAGCGACUGAUAAGAUGCGAGGGCUUCACCGCCUAUCAAGUCUUGACAAACUCCGAAUACUAUCACUUGAUCUUUGGGAGUGAGGGCAUGGGUGCUAAGGUCCAUGUCCGAAAGAGGAACAACUCAGACCACCGGCUAAGGUCCCGAAAUAAGGGCUAAGUUGAACAAACGAAGUAAAACUGCAAAGACAGCUAGGAUGUUGGCUUGGAAGCAGCCAUUCAUUUAAAGAGUGCGUAACAGCUCACUAGUCGAGGAGUUUUGCAUGGAUAAUAAUCGGGCAUAAGCCCUUUACCGAAGCUGUGGAUGUCGUAAGACAUGGUAGGGGAGCAUUCCGGCGGCGACGAAGGCCGUCCUCGAGGACGACUGGAGCUUUCGGAAAAGCAAAUGUAGGUAUAAGUAACGAUAAAGGGGGCGCGAAACCCCCUCGCCAUAAGACUAAGGAUUCCUGAUCAACGCUAAUCGGAUCAGGGUAAGUCGGGCCCUAAGGCGCAGCCGAACGGCGCAGCCGAUGGAAGAAACGGUAAAAAUUCCGUUACUGGAUAUAGGAGCGAUGUGGAGACGGAGAAGUGACACACCCGCCUGCCGACGGAAGCGCAGGUUAAAGGAAGUAGGUAAACGCCGGGCAGGCAAAUCCGCCUGGCGUGCCGAAGCUGACAGUAUCGAGAGCCCCCGGGCAAUCGAAUAGCGGUGGUAAUCAGGCUCCCAAGAAAAUCCGCUAAGCAUAUUCUAUAUUCACCCGUACCCCAAACGGACACACGUAGUCGGGUAGAAUAUACCAAGGCGCUCGAAAGACUCACGGUUAAGGAACUAGGCAAAUUGACCCUGUAACCUCGGGAAAAAGGGUCCCCAGUAAGAUGGGGCGCAGAGAAUAGGUCCAGGCAACUGUUUAACAAAAACACAGGGCUGUGCAAAAUUUCAAGAUGAAGUAUACAGCCUGACACCUGCCCGGUGCCGGAAGGUUAAGAGGAGAGCUUAUCGCAAGAGAAGGCUUGAAUUGAAGCCCCGGUAAACGGCGGCCGUAACUAUAACGGUCCUAAGGUAGCGAAAUUCCUUGUCGG